UACACACCGGCGUUAAACUAGACAUCGGGCCGAUGUUGGCAUUUUCAGCUAAUAUUGGCCGAUUCCGAUAUGCUCACCGAUUAUAUCGUGCACCCCUAGAUCAAACAGUACAGAGUAUUGUAGAAAAUUCACAGUUCUGCUGUACAAAGUCUGUUUAAUUUUUCCCUUCAUUAGAAACAUGAAUAUCUGGUUGUUGGAUUUGGAAUGUCUCUCAAGGUGAUGACAUAAUGGUCUCUAAGGUGAUGACAUAAUGGUCUCUAAGGUGAUGACAUAAUGGUCUCUAAGGUGAUGACAUAAUGGUCUCUAAGGUGAUGACAUAAUGGUCUCUAAGGUGAUGACAUAAUGGUCUCUCAAGGUGAUGACAUAAUGGCCGGGCUGUUGUAAUUGAUACAUUAAAUUAAAUAAAUUCCA